GGAGGAGGUGGAGGGAGGGUUGCUUAUGAUUAGAUCAAGAAUAAAAGCUUUCAAUGGACAACAAUUCUUUCCACAAAAAUAUUCCAGAUGAACUUUGAGGACAUCAUAUACCAAGGUGACCAGGAGAGAGAGAAAGAAAUUAAAGUGAAUGGGUGAUUUAAUGUGUGCUGCUAUCCGUCAGAGAAAGUUCCUCUCCACUUUAAUCGGUUCCGUACACAGAUGAAAGCAGGCACCGUGACAUGGAAGGAGAGGCAGCUUGAGACAAAGGAGAUCCUGGUGGAAACUGUCCAUGGGGCAAGAUUACUGAUUCUCUUUGCCUAAAGAUGUCAUGAAGACCAGUGCAGUUAAGUUCCUUGGGAAAAAAAUCUAUAAAACAAAGCACAGGGAUCUAUCGAACUGGAUGGAGACGCAGAUCUUUGAGGCACGUUAAAUUCAACGAGGUGACGCCCUUCAAUCUAUGGAGGAAUACGCCAUUAUUAUUGUUAUCAUGUAUCCAGCUGCUCCUGAAUGUGGCUCUUUCAUGUUGUCCACCCAUUCUGAGAUCCCAGGACAAUGGGAAGUCAUCCGCUUCUCAAUUCGUGGGGCUGGGAUUAGAUCCAGACAGGGUGAUGCCAGAGUCUGUGGCAUCAGACAAAACACUUAAUCACUAUGCCUUACUCUCCUCAUCUCUAAGAUGGGGACAAUAACAGUUAGGCAGAAAGCCUAAGUUGGAGCUGAGCUAGGAGACAAUUUCGUAACACAUAUCAAAAGCUUAAAAUUAAAUUUGAUUAAGUAAUUCCACUUUCAGAGAUCUGUCCUAAGAAGAUAUUCACAACUAUGGCUCAAAAUAUAUAUACAACGCAGUGGUUCCAAUUUUUCCCUAUUAUAAAUACUCCCAUUGUUUAACAAUAGAAUAUGAUUAAAUGAAGGAUGGUUUAUACAAACAAUGAAGCUUCAUGCAGACAUUUAAAACAAUGCUUUCAAA
rnacentral:lncRNA from 1 species